rnacentral:rRNA from 1 species
AUGGGAGGUGGUGACCAAGUAUCGAGUGGGACAUGUUGGCAGAUAGGAAUGAAUGCAAUUUAAGCAAUUGAAUUGAGCAACGACUGGAGGGCAAGUCUGGUGCCAGCAGCCGCGGUAAUUCCAGCUCCAGUAGCCUAUCUCAAAGUUGCUGCGCUUAAAACGCUCGUAGUUGGAUCACGCACUGCGUGUUGGUGUGCGGCCAGGUGCGGCGGGGUUGAAUUUGCAGUUCGACGCGCCGAAGUCAGGGUCGCUAUGAGCCGACGCGCAGUAAUUGCACGUGAGGAUGGCAGUUGGCCUUGAGUGCGUCGACAGUCGUGUCUCACGGGGUGUGCCUUGAGUAAAUCAGAGUGCUCAAAGCAGGCGAAUGCCUGAAUGUUGAUAGCAUGGAACGAACAAUCGUGUAGGGUGUGUGCUGAGAACGGUGUGUUGUUUUGUCCGCCGCAGCGCACGACACCGACCGCCAAUGCCGGAUGUUGGUUCCGCGUUGGGGUAUCGAUUAAGAGGAGCGGUUGGGGGCAUUGGUAUUUGGCAGCGAGAGGUGAAAUUCUUGGACCUGCCAAGGACUAACAAAUGCGAAGGCAUCUGUCCAGACCGUAUCCAUUAAUCAAGAACGAAAGUGAGAGGUUCGAAAGCGAUCAGAUACCGCCCUAGUUCUCACUGUAAACGAUGCCGACCCGGGAUCAGUUUGGAGCCAAUUUUCCACGCUCGAGGUUGGUCCCCCUGGGAAACCUGAAGUUUUUCGGUUGCGGGGGGAGUAUGGUCGCAAGCCUGAAACUUAAAGGAAUUGACGGAAGGGCCCCCCCAGGGGUGGAGCCUGCGGCUUAAUUUGACUCAACACGGGAAACCUUACUCUCUCCGGACAUCAAAAGGAUAGACAGACUAAAGAUC